UAUAUACUUAUUUAUUAUCUACUGUUCAUAUGGAUCUAUGACUGAAAGCUCCCAAGCUACGCAGCAGUAAAAAAACACGAGGAAACUGGAAUUCUGUCUCACAAUACACACACACACACAAAACAAAAAUGAAGUUAUUAUACAUAAAUUAUGUAGGGGUUUGAAGAACCCCUCACCAUCACCAGGGAGUGUUUGAACAAGUCACCAGAACUAUAGCAAAAGACAAUUUUUUAUUGAUUGUUAAAACAGUUAUUGUUUAGCCCAAGGUCAGAACUGACCAAGCAGAGCAAUGAUCAAAAACAUUCCAUCUGAGACCACCCGGUAUUUUUUUUUUUAUCUAUGUGCACAGAACUCAGGAUCAUACCAUCUAGACCGCUUUUUCUUCAAAGUUGGUAGGAAGUGAUGAGGGAGAUUUGGCUGCUAUUUCCAGCAGGCAGAAAGACCAUGUAAAGGCUCCGUCUUUUGCUUCGAACACCUGUGUUUUAGGUAAGUGGUGAAUAAAUGAACCUUGUAAUACAAUAUUACUAUACAAACACACAAUCAGUGAACUACCAUAUUAUGCACACCCCAUGGACAACAUUACAACACAUAAUUACAGCACAUCACACACACAGUAUAUACAAUGUUAAUACACACAUCCCGUCAGAGCAAACACGUCACAAAUAAUACACUCAUACACAGUGUACCCAGGAUGUAUAUAAUGAUGAUAGUACAAUGUGCACAUAUUUGAUUGUGAAAGUGUGAAUAUUUAUUUCCAGUGAGUGUACAUAACACAACAUAAUACACAAUGCAAAAAUGAGUAAGCAAGUAUUCUCAAACGCAUGAAAAAUAUAUACAUUUAUAUAUACAAUAUAAAUGUGUGUGUGUGUGUGUGUGUGUAUAUAUAUAUAUAUAUAUAUAUAAUAACAAAGGGUAAAAUUAAUUAAUUAAGAAGUAAUAAUUUCACCAAGUAGAAUUCGGCAUGAAAAAAGGACCAUUUCAUGGUAAACUUAAGUAAUCCUUAAUAAUUAGGGUUCAGCAAAGAUUUGCUUUACCACAUACCAAAGUUUAGAAAUAGCAGCCAAAAAGGUUAGCUAUUUCUUCUACUUUAAAAGGGGGAGUCCCUUUUUAAAGUAGAAGAAAUAGCUAACGUUUUUUGGCUGCUAUUUCUAAACUUCGGUAUGUGGUAAAGCAAAUCUUUGCUGAACCCUAAUUAUUAAGUGUGUAUAAGGCGCAUGGCUCAGUGGUUAGAGCGUUGAGCUUACGAUCGUGAGGUUGUGAGCUCGAAUCCCGGACCGGGCUGCGUGUUGUGUUCUCGAGCAAGGCACUUUAUUUCACGUUGCUCCAGUUCACUCAGCUGUAGAAAUGAGUUGCGAUGUCACUGGUGCCAAGCUGUAUCGACCUUUGUCUUUCCCUUGGAUAACACUGGUGGUGUGGAGAGGGGAGGCUGGUAUGCAUGGGCGACUGCUGGCCUUCCAUAAACAACCUUGCCCGGACUUGUAUCUAGGAAGGUAACUUUCUAGGUGCAAUCCCAUGGUCAUUCAUGACCGAAGGGGGUCUUUACCCCUUAUAUAUAUAUAUAUAUAUAUAUAUAUAUAUAUAUAUAUAUAUAUAUACACACACACACACACACAAAGCAGACAUAUAUGUACACACACACAACAAAUAUAUAUAUAUUUAUAUAUACACUCAAACACACAUACACACAAAGCAGAAAGAAUUUUAUUUUAAAAAAUUUGAUUAUAUAUAUUAUUAUUAUUAUCAUCAUUAUUAUUAUUUUUAUUUUUAUUAUCAUCAUUAUCAUCAAGGCGGCAAGCUGGCAGAAUCGUUAGCUUGCUGGGUAAAAUGCUUUGCAGCAUUUCGGCUGUCUUUACAUUCUGAGUUCAAAUUCCACCAAGGUCGACUUUGCCUUUCACCCUUUCGGGGUCGAUAAAUUAAGUACCAGUUGCAUACUAGAGUUGAUCUAAUCAACUGGCCUGCUCCCCACCAAAAAUUUCAGGCCUUCUGCCUAUAGUAGAAAAGAUUAUUAUUAUUAUCAUCAUCAUCAUCAAGGUAGCAAGCUGGCAGAAUUGUUAGCAUGCUAGGCAAAAUGGUUUGCAACAUUUUGUCUGCCACUACGUUCUGAGUUCAAAUUCCACCAAGGUUGACUUUGCCUUUCAUCCUUUCAGGGUUGAUAAAUUAAGUACCAGUUGAAUACUAGAGUCAGUGUCAUCGACAUAUCCCUUCCCUAGAAUUUCAGGCCCUGUGCCUUUAGUAGAAAGGAUUAUUAUUAUUACUAUUAUUCAGUAGUGGUAGUAGUAGUUAGCAGAAGCAACAGAGAGACUUAAGAACCGAGAGUAUUAUGCAUCAGCACUUAUCAAACUAUAUAUAUAUAUAAUUAAAUGCUUCUGUGAGGAGAUGCUGAAAAAUUCCUGGCUUUAAGAGUAUCACAAAAGGCCUGGUUGGAGGCCUAACUUUCCAAGUUCUUUCAGAGGUCUUAGAAAAAAAAUGACAGACUGCCGCAAUAAGCGUGUGAAUCUGAGAAAGGAGCAUGUUCAUAAAAUCAUAAUUAACUGAUGUUCCUGUAUUUUCUUUUACCCAAAGCCAGGAACUUUUCAGCCCCAACUCCCGUCCUUGUAUCUUGUUAAUUAUUAAUUUUUCAGAGAAAAAUAAAUGCGAUAUUCAUCAAUAUCAUACAAGACUAUAUCUGUGUGGAAAAUUAGAAAACAAUUCAUUGAAAAAUCCUUAAAUGACUGGAAGAAAAUGAAAAAAAUUAUAUUUAUAUAUGUAUAUAUAUGUAUGUAUGUAUGUAUGUAUGUAUGUAUGUAUGGUGCGUGACUUCUGGGACAUCCCAUAUAUAUAUAUAUAUAUAUAUAUAUAUAUAUAUAUAUGGGAUGUCCCAGAAGUCACACACCAUUCCGGUUUCCAUUAAAGAUAAUUGACGCAAUGUAUUUUAUUUCCAUAUUUGAAGCAUGUUUUAUUGCAGAGGGUGCUCAAUUUGAGCAUUUGUUAGGAUUAUUUUCAAUAAAGUGUUUUUGAAAUCAAUAAAGGAGUAUUUUUAAAAAACCCAGGAAGGUGUGUGACUUCUAGAACACCCCGUGUGUGUGUAUAUAUACAUAUAUAUAUAUAUAUAUAUGUAUAAAUUAUAUUUAUAUAUAUAUAAAUUAUAUUUAAAUAUAUAUAAUUGCAGAAGGCCAGAAAUUCAAGGGUGGUGUAGGUUGAUUAAACUGACUCCAGAAUUUGACUGGAACCUUAUUUUAUCAAAACCAAAAGGAUUAAAAACAAAUUUGAUUUCAGCAGGAUUUGAACUAACAACAUAACAGCACAAAUACAACACCAACAAUUCUGUCAAUCCAUCACCCUUAUAAUAAUUAGAAAAUUAUUAAUAGUAAUAGUAAUAAUAAUAAUAAUGGUUCCAAAUUUUGGAACAAGGUCACCAAAAGGAAGAAAGGAAAAGUUGACCCUGGUCAACUUUCCCCUUCUUUUGAAAUCAGAAUACAAGGAUGAAAUGCCACUAAGCAUUUUGCCCAGCAUGCUUCUGCUAGCUCAUCACCUAAUUUAAUAAUAAUUUAUUCUUUUAUUGACCACAAGGGCUAAUAUAUACAAACAUAAAAGGACAUACAAUAACAUUGAAAGAUAAAAAAAAAUAGACGAUACAAUGGGUUUUCCUUGUAUAAACAAUACAAAACAAUAAAAGAUUAAACAAAUUAAAACUCCCAAUAGGGGAGGUGCUUUAAAGGUCCUCAUGGAAAAAUCCACAAAAGCCAUGGGUGCCUGAUCAAUAGGGCAAUAGCCCUUUUAUUUUUACAGGUGUAUAUACAGAAUUGGUUCUUUCACACUGACCAUUCUUCCAACAUUCACCCAGGCACAAGGCCUGAAAUUUUAGGGUGGGGACUAAUCAAUUACAUCAACCCCAGUGCUCAACAACAACAACAAUAAUAAUAAUGUUGGUUAUUAUUUGUCAUUUUUGCUAUUUCUCCUUUAUGUAAUUCAAAUUUUAUUGCAUCAAUAUAUUUUCUAUAUUAACUCUAUACAUAUUUUGGCAGUGACACAUAGUAAGAGUUCUCAUCGAAAGAAAGAACUCUUAAUUAACAGACAUGAUAAGUGAGAAGAAAUUUGGUGACUCUCACUCAGACUGUGCACACAAGCCAUCAGCCCUUCAUCUUAUCUCCCACAUGGCUCCGCCUCUGGCUUCAGUUAAAACAGAUUAAAGAUCAAGAUUGAUAAUAUAUAGUUUUACCAGAUAGGUUUUUGUUGCUGUUUAAUACCAGGUCAGCCCUGAAUGAACAAGCCAAUGAUCAAAGGCAUUCCAACCAUGAACAUUCAGUUCAUCCAACUUCCAGUCACUAUAUCUAGGGCUACAUUAAUCAAUGUGUCCUUUUUUUUUUUUUUUUAUGAUGGUAGUAUGUGAUUUAUGGGAGAUGUAACUGCUAGUUUUAGCAGGUCAAGCAACCACAUCUGGAUUCGACAUUAGCAUUUUUUACUGUUUUUUAUAUCUAUUUUCUUUGCUUGUGCUGUUUAUGGAUGCAGAGUGGUUGAAUGCUUAAGAGGUUUGUUGCAUGGUGUCUUGGGAAAAUAAUUUCUAUCAUAUUCUUGGAUCAACCCCUGCUAAUUUUGCAGGUCAAAUUGAGUAGACAGAAACUGCAUGAAAAAUUCAUCACCAUCAUCAUCAUUUCAAUGUCCACUUUUCCAACAAUAAUUUGGACCUUUCAUUUCUCCUGUGGUCAAAGAUUAACCUGUUCCUGAAAGAAAUGUUAAGGCUAACACAACAUUUACCAAGUUAUCUAUUAGCUAUUCCAUACACUAAUAUGAAAUGAGAGAGGAGGUGCAAUGGCCCAGUGGUUAGAGAAGCAGACUCGCGGUUGUAGGAUUGCGGUUUCAAUUCCCAGGCCGGGCAUUGUAAGUGGUUAUUGAGCAAAAACAUCUAAAGUUCCACAAGGCUCCAGCAAGGAGGGGGAGGGGUCGAACCCUGCUGUACUCUUUCACCACAACUUUCUCUCACUCUUUCUUCCUGUUCCUGGGCCAGCGUUUUCACACUUUGUCACGCUGACUCUCCCUGAGAACUACGUUAAGGGUACAUGUGUCUGUGGAGUGCUCAGCCACUUGCACAUUAAUUUCACAAGCAGGCUGUUCCGUUGAUCGUAUCAACUGGAACCCACAUCGUCGCAACCGACAGAGUGCCACGAUUAAAUGAGAAAUAUGGAAUGAAAUAUUUCCAUCCAAGCAGACUCAACAAUACUUUUACUACAGUUAUCAACCUAAAACUUAGGAGAUAGCAGACGUGUACACACACACACACCUAUAUAUUUCCAUUUGGCUAUUCCCCCGUCUAUCAUGCAUUAAAUGUUAUCAAUAUGUCUUUGAGACAAAUUGGACGAAGACAGAAAUACAGAUAGGAAGGUGUGAGAAAGACAGAUGCAGAAAGAAUGAUGAGAGAGAGAGAAAGAGAUACAAAGAGAAGGAUGAGAAAUUACGUAAAAGCUGAUUUAUAUAAAUAUAUAUAUAUAUAUAUACGAGAGAAAGAAAGACUAACAGACAGACAGAGGGAGAGACAGAGACAGAGAAGUAAAGGCUUCAAACAAUGAAUAAAAGAGAGAAAUAACAUUUUGGAACAAUAAAUUUGUAACCAAGUGAAACAUUAAAAUAAAACGGUAAAAAGCAAAAUACAACAUGGAAAAAAGAAGUACUCAAAUUUUUCAUUUUAAUAAAAUAUCUGUGAAAUUGCAAAGCAAUUUGAUGAAAAGGAUUUUCAGUGACUUCCCUUCAGCAACAAGCUUAGGAGACAUAAUUAUGAGUGUGAGCAGGUGUGUGUGUGUGUGUAAUCACAUCAUACACACAUUUCUAUAUGCAUAUAUACAUGCACAUUUAUAUACACACAUACACAUAUAUAUAUACACACACAAUACCCACACACACACACACACUCACAUACAUGCAGACAAUACCCACACCCACACAUGUAUUUAGCCUUCAAAUCAAUUUCAAAAUUGAAACGUUUGAGAAUAUGAUAGAAUAAAAACAAUUUUUUAAAAUAUGUUUUGACAAAAAGUUGUCCUUGGAUGUUAAAAGAUGAUUGAUAUUGACAAAAUAUAUUUAAAAGAAUUAAAAGAACCUAGGUACAGCAACAACAACAACAACAAUAAACAUUUCUAGUACAGACACAAGACCUCAAAUAUUUUGGGGAAGGAAUGCAUGUGAUUUAAUCAACCAAUCACUAGACACAUGGAAGUUGACCUUGAUGAGAUCUGAACUCGGUUUUCAUGGUGUACAAGUGAUUGAGAUUACAAAAUUCCUGCUGAUUGGGACGCCAUCCCGCAACCAUCACAGAAUUGCUUGUUUACAGUUCAGCAGAUGGGAGCAACAUGAAAUGAAGUGUUUUGCCCAAGAACACAAUACAUCAUCCAGUCUAGGAAUUGAAACAAUGAUCUUGAGACUGCGAGUGCAACAUCCUAACCAACAAACCAUGUAACAUUACUCUCUGAGACAAAGGAAUGUAUAAAUAUUGUUAAGGCGCAGGAGUGGCUGUGUGGUAAGAAGCUUGCUAACUAACCACAUGGUUCCGGGUUCAGUCCCACUGUGUGGCAUCUUGGGCAAGUGUCUUCUGCUAUAGCCCCGGGCCGACCAAUGCCUUGUGAGUGGAUUUGGUAGACGGAAACUGAAAGAAGCCUGUCGUAUAUAUGUAUAUAUAUAUAUGUGUGUGUGUUUGUGUGUUUGUGUGUCUGUCCCCCUAGCAUUGCUUGACAACCGAUGCUGGUGUGUUUACGUCCCCGUCACUUAGCGGUUCGGCAAAAUAGACCGAUAGAAUAAGUACUGGGCUUACAAAGAAUAAGUCCGGGGGUCGAUUUGCUCGACUAAAGGUGGUGCUCCAGCAUGGCCGCAAUCAAAUGACUGAAACAAGUAAAUGAGUAAAAGAGCAUUAAUUUGUUGACAUUAGACAUUUUUAUGUUUUCCAAUAUGCACUUCUUUCUGAGGCAAGACAACUCUUGCUAUAUUUCUCAUACCAUGAAUCAUAAAUGGUUAAUAAUUUGUUUCUGAAAAAAGCCUAUGGCCUGAAAUUUGGAAGGAGGGAUAGUAAUGGACAGUAGCAUAAUUGGGGGGAGGGGGCAAGGAAAGAGGAGGCAGUCUGUCCUGGGAAGCACUUUUACGAAGAUAGCAUAGUUGGGUCUGCUGGGUAACUUUGUAUAGGCUAGGAGGCUGGGACAGGAGUGGGGAAAACUCAAGGACCGCUCCUGGUGGCAUGCAGUCUAGCUACACCACUGGUGUCUGAUUGGUACUUUGCCUGUCAUCCUUCCAGAGAUGAUAAAAUGUCGAACUUGAUGGGAUUUGAACUUAGAAUGUAAUGCAAAAAGCCAUAAUCUCUCCUACAUUUUUCUUCAGCCGAGUGAUCCUAAUCUUGUGGACUAGUGGGUACUGGUACCACAUAAAAAGCACCUGUAAAAGCACCCACUGCAGCACCACAUAAAAGAACCUGCUACACUCUGUAAAGUGGUUGGUGUUAGGCAGAGUAUCCAGUUGUAGAAACCAUGCCAAAAGAGACAUGGAGCUUGGUGCAGCUCUCCAGCCAGCUCCUAUCAAACUGUCCAACCCAUGCCAGCAAGGGAAACAGACGUUAAAUGAUAAUUACACCAACCCUAGUAAUAAAGCUAAAGAUUUCUGAUUUAGGCAGUCAUUUUGAGAAGUAGUGAACAGGGUUGGGGGGGGGGGAGAUCAAAUAUAUUGGCCCAAAUAAUUAACUGGUACUUUUAUUUUAUUGACCUCAGAAGGAUGAAAAGCAAACUUGGUGGGAUAUGAACUUAGAAUAUAAAGAACAGGAAGUCAUUCUGCAAAGCAUUUUGUCUGAUGUUCUAAUGAUUCUACUAAUCCAACAUCCUAAUAAUAAUAAUAAUAAUACUAAUCCUUUCUACUUAAAGGCACAAGGCCUGAAAUUUUGGGAUGGUGGCUAGUCAAUUAAAUUAAUCCCAGUGCUCAACUGGUACUUAUUUCAUCAACCUCUAAAAGGUGAAAGGCAAAGUCAACCUUGGUGGAUUUGGAACUCACAAUGUAGUGACAGACGAAAUACUACUAAGCAUUUCAUUUAGUGUGCUAAUGACUGCUAGCUUGCCACCUAAUAAUAAUAAUAAUAAUAAUAAUAAUAAUAAUAAUCCUUUCUACUAAAGGGGGAGGGUUAGGGUUAGUAUUCAACUGGUGUUUAUUUUAUUGAUACCAUAAGGAUGAAAGGGGCAAGUGAACCUUGGUAGAAUUUGAACUCAGAACAUAGCAACUGGUGAAAUACCGCUAAGCAUUUCAUUCAGCGUGCUAACGAUUCUGCCAGCUCACCAUCCUUUCUUCUACAGGCACAAGGCCUGCAAUUUUGGUGGGAGGGAGCUAGUUGAUUACAUCAAGCUCAGAGCUUGACUGGUGCUUGUUUUAUCAACCCUGAAAGGCAAAGUCAAUCUUGGCAGAAUCUGAACUCAGAACAUAAAGACAGAUGAAAUGCCACUAAGCAUUUUGCGCGGCAAGCCAACAAUUCUGCCAGGUCACCACCUUACCAACACCCUAAUGAUAAUAAUAAUAAUUAUUAUUACUUCUUAUUUUGAACUUGACAAAACAGUCGUACUAUUGAAAUAUUGUUCAACUAAUAAAAUAUCUUACAAUCGAAUCGCGCUCUUCAUCUUGACUGUUUACCUUUGUGAAGAGUUACAUCAAUCCUUUUUUAAAAUAUAAUAAUAAUAAUAAUAAUCCUUUCUAAUAUAGGCACUAGCUAGGGCACAACCAAGUAACUUGCAAUACAAAACCCCUCAACUGAGUGGAGGUGGAUCUGUGCUAGGUGUUGAGAGGCUAAGGUAUGAUGGGGGACAGGAGAAGGUGUCUUGUUGUAGAGAUACAUGGCUACACCAACUGGAAAGAGUGGAAAAAAGAAAAAAAAGGGAUGGUGGAGAUGAUGUUUGAGAACAUACCCUCAAAGUACAAGAAGGUGGAUAUAAGAAAGAAUAGGGACUAACGAUGGAGGAUGGAUUGAUGGGUAAUGCAUCAGGUGAAAUCUAAUGAUUUCCCACCUAAAAUUUGUUACAUGUAACAACAAAUUUAUUAUACAUGCACAUACAUAUAUACACAAAUACAUACACACACACACACACACACACACACAAAUGUACACACACACACAUUAUCAUCACUUAAUGCUGGUCUUUCAUGCUGACAUGGGUUGGACAGUUCGAUAAAAUCUGGCAAAUGAGAGGACUGCAUUGUGCUGCAGUGUCUGCUUUGGCGUGGUUUUUAUGGCCAGAUGCCCUUCCAAAUACCAGCCUUUUCCACAGAGUGUACCAAGUGCUUUUGCCAUGGCACCAGCGCUAGUGAAGAUUGCCUUAUAACUUUCAAGACUAAGGACCUAAAGUGGUCCCUAAUACUGAGGAAGGAUAGAAGAGAGAGGGUGUGAUGAUUCUAGGCAGGAUGGAGAGGAAGGUUAAGAUGAAAGGAAAAGAUUCAUAGUUGUGAUAGGGUCAUAGUGGAGACAGCAACAGAGUAGACAUUAUUUGGGGUAGGAAGAAUUGCAGGAACAAGGGAAAAAGAAAGAAUAUAUAUAUAUAUAUACACAUACAUAUAAGUUCAGACAUGGCUGUGUGACAACAAGUUUCUUUCCAACCAAAAGGUUUCAGGUUCAGUCCCACUGCAUGGCACCUUGGGCUAGUGUCUUCUACUAUAGCCAUGGGCUGACCAAACCUUUGUGAGUGGAUUUGGUAGACAGAAACUGAAAGAAGCCCAUUGUGUGUGUGUGUGUUUGUACCCCACCCCUAUCACUCGACAACUGGUGUUGGUGUGUAAGUCCCUAUAACUUAGCAGUUCAGCAACAGUGACUGAUAGAAUAAGUGGCAGGUGUAACAAAAUAAGUAUAGGAGUCAAGUUGUUCGACAAAAAUUCUUCAAGGAGGUGCCCUAGAAUGGUCUCAGUCUAAAACUGGAAAAGAAGUGUGUGUGUGUGUAUAUAUAUAUAUAUAUUCAUACACACAUAUAUAUUCAAACAUAUGCAUAUACAUACAUACAUACACUAACACAUAUACACAGUCACACACACAUGCAUAUGCACAGACACACAUUUCCUCACACUUGUGCAAACAAAUGCACUCACACACAUAUACACACACACAAACCCCCAACCCAUAAUUAUAGUUAACAACAUUUCAUGGAAAAGAUAAGUCUUUGAAUGUUCACUUGAACUAGAUAACCAAAAGUCAUUUCAUUGGAAUAAAAAGAUUUCAUUUCAUUAUGAUUGCUUCAUUAUACACAAGUAGUAACGGUUCAGUAAACAUGAUAAAAUAGUGAUUUAGUAGAUAUGGUGAAAUGCCUGGCUUAUAUAUAUUUUUAUGGCUAGUUUAGUAUCUCAGGUUUCUGUGCUCAAAUUCCCUUUGGGGAUGAUUUUUGCCUUUCAUCUCUCCAGGGUCUUUAAAUAAGUAUUCAAAAUAAUGCACUGAUGGGUUGAUUCAGAUGAAUAAAGAAAUUGCUACAAGGAUUUCUUGUUGCUGUUGAAUAAAAAGAAAGAAAACAAUAAAUGAAAUAUAUAUGUAUAAAAAAAGCAUUGAAUUGUGCAACUUUCUGCUGUCUUCCAUUAAACUAGUCUCUAGAGGGUUGCAUAGAAACUAUAUUACAAUAAACUUCCAUGAAUUCAAUCCCAGUACAAAGUGUGUGUGUGUGUGUGUGUAGGUGCAGUCAUGGCUGUGAGGUUAAGAAGCUCAUUCCUUUCAAGGAAUUGCCCAAGCAUGGCCACAGUCCAUUGACUGAAAUAUACACACACGGGGGAGAGGGAGAGAAAAAGUUACGAAAUUUUCUGCACAAUCAUCAGGUCCUAGGUUUGAUUCCUUCAACAUAACCUCAGAUUUGUUUAGCCUGUGUCCGUCCUGAUCUAGCAAACCAAAAGUCAAAGACGUUCUAUUGUGACUUUUAGGAUACCUAAUACUACAAUGUCCAAUGUAUGAUUUUUUUUUUUAAGGCAGACUGUAUGAUGCAUGUGUACGAACAGCCAUGCUACAUGGCAGUGAAACAUGGGCCGUGACUGCUGAGGACAUGCGUAAGCUCGUGAGAAAUGAAGCUAGUAUGCUCCGUUGGAUGUGUAAUGUCAGUGUUCAUAGUCGACAGAGUGUAAGUACCUUGAGAGAAAAGUUGGACCUAAGAGGAAUCAGAUGUUGUGUGCAAGAGAGACGAUUGCGCUGGUAUGGUCAUGUGGUGAGAAUGGAUGAAGAUAGGUGUGUGAAAAAGUGCCACACCCUGGCAGUUGAGGGGACCUGUGGAAGAGGUAGACCCAGGAAAACCUGGGUCGAGGUGGUGAAGCACGACCUUCGAACUCUAGGUCUCACCAAGGAAAUGACCAGAGACCGAGACCUAUGGAAGUAUGCUGUGCGUGAGAAGACCCGGCAAGACCAGUGAGAACAAUCAAAAUCAAAUCAUAUAUCAGAAAGCAGGGGUUAAGUGUCCGCUGUCAGCCUCGUCUGGCACCCGUGCCGGUGAUACGUAAAAGCACCAUUCGCUCAUGGCCGUUUGCCAGCUCUGCCUGGCCCCGUGUCGGUGGCACGUAAAAGCGCCAUCCGUUCGUGUUCGUUUCCAGCCUCGCCUGGCCCCGUGCCGGUGACACGUAAAAGCACCGUCCGUUCGUGGCCGUUUGCCAGCUCUGUCUGGCAACCGUGUCGGUGGCACGUAAAAGCACCAUCCGUUCGCAUCCGUUGCCAGCCUCGGCUGGCCCCCGUGCCGGUGACACGUAAAAGCACCGUCCGUUCGUGGCCGGUUGCCAGCUCUGUCUGGCCCCGUGUCGGUGGCACGUAAAAGCACCAUUCGUUCAUGCCCGUUGCCAGCAUCGCCUGGCCCCGUGCCGGUGACACGUAAAAGCACCAUCCGUUCGUGGCCGUUCGCCAGCUCUGUCUGGCACCUGUGCAGGUGGCACGUAAAAAACACCCACUACACUCGCGGAGUGGUUGGCGUUAGGAAGGGCAUCCAGCCGUAGAAACACUGCCAGAUCUGACUGGGCCUGACGAAGCCUUCCAGCUUCACAGGCCCCAGUUGACCCGUCCAACCCAUGCUAGCAUGGAAAACGGACGCUAAACGAUGAUGAUGAUGAUGAUGAUGGGUUGUGACUUGAGAGAUACUUGACUGCUGUUUCUAGCAAGUUGAGUGACCACUUAUAGCUUCCCUUGUUAGAGUACUGGAUUUUGUGACACAGUUUGCAAGUUCGAAUUAACUGCAGAAGGCAUUUUUAUGUGCAGAGUACUUCAUCUUACAUUGCACAGUAGUUGUAAAUGAAUGCCACAAUCAUGCAAUUGGUGUUCAUUUCCAAUCUUCUCUAGGGACAUGUCCAGCCAUGGAGAAAAGUAUCCAGCUUGGAAAGGAGUGAGUGUUGGCAACAGGAAAGGUAUCCAGCUGUAAAAAAUCUGCUCCAUCAUAUUUCAUCUGACCCAUGCAAGCAUGGGAAGGUGGACGUUAAAAAAGAAAAAAAAUGAUGGGAGACAACAACAUUGAAAAAUGACGAUAAUGAUGAAAAAUGACAUGGAAAAAUGGCAAUGGAAAGCUAUGAUGUUGAAAACUAACAACGAUGAGGAAAAACAAUGAAAAGCUAACUAUGAUGAAAACCGAUGAUGAUGAUGAUGAAAAAUGGCAAUGAUGAAAGAGGACAACAAUGAGGGAAAAUGACAAUGAUGAAAAGUGAUGAUGAUACUGAGUGUGCAAAAUAUGAAAGCUAGAUAUAAUGUGAUGAUGUAUUAGUAUCAGAUCCUGAACAAUGAACCAUUGAUUUCAAUCUCAUGAUGACUCUCAUCUAUUUCUUCAGCAUCACGCAUAAUUUCAAUUUCAGUAAUUGUUUACUAUGUUGAAGAAAAUAUCUCAAAGCUUUUAAAUUAAACCAUGACAACUCGAUGAAUGCUAAAAAGAUGCUGAUAAAAAUCUCUACAGUCUCUGAAUUUCAUGUGAAUGAAAUUUUGUAUAAAAUUAACAGUCAACAAAUCUAAUAGCCAGACAGUAUUGGCAAUUGUUCAAGACAUUUAUAAAUCUAUAUAUUUCUGCACUUUCUACUACUUACAUAGUUCUAAUGGAGAAAUCCUAAAUGUCGGCAACAUCUGAAAGAAAACCACCUGCUCAUGUCAUUUGCUACUCUCAAAAAUCAAAUCAACAACAAUUGUAUAUGUAUAUAUAUAAAGAAAAUCUUUUAAAGAGAGUUAAAUAUUUGACUUGUUCCUGUAGAGGAACAAAGAGAAAAUUUAACACUUCAGAUGUAAUUUAUAACACAAUAACACACUGCAUUAAACCUUUUUAACACCAAUCCAUUUGAGAUGCUCUGAAUUAAAGUGUUCAUACUUUAAUUAAAUUAUUGGUUAAUGUUUUAUAACAUAAAUGAUGAGAUGAAAUUCCAGCUAUUCAGAAGUAGAAUAGCACCAGUUUAAUGUCAGUUUCUUCAUGCUCGCAUGGAUCAAAUGAAAUCUGUUGAUGCAGGUUUUCUAUGGUUGGAUGCUCUCCCAGGUGCUAACAUUUAUUUGUCUCCAAGUAAAGGAAUAUUUUCUCAGAGUCUUUUCAACACAAGUAGCACAAUGUCAGAUACAAUUUUUCAUGGAAGAUUGCAAACAAACGACAUUGCUUGUAUGAUGGUGACAUUUAUCUACAGUUAGCAUGGAAUGUCAAGACAAGGAGACAUGAGCAUCUGCGCGCACACACACACACAUUUUAGAUUUCUUUCAGUUUCUUAUUUCUUUAUUGCCCACAAGGGGCUAAACAUAGAGGGGACAAACAAGGACAGACAAAGGGAUUAAGUCGAUUACAUUGACCCCAGUGCGUAACUAGUACUUAUUUAAUCGACCCCGAAAGGAUGAAAGGCUAAGUCGACCUCGGCAGAAUUUGAACUCAGAAUGUAGCAGCAGACGAAAUACCACCAAGCAUUUCGUCCAGCAUGCUAACGUUUCUGCCAGCUUGCCACUUUUCUUUCAGUGUCUGUCAACCAACUGCACUCAUAAGACUUUGGUCAGCCCAGGGUUACAGUAGAUGUCAUUUGCCUGAGGUGCCAUGCGGUGGGACUGAACUUGAAAGCACAUGAUGCUGAAGUUAACUUCUUAAUCACACAGUCAUAUACCACAGAAAUGUAAAAAAAUAAGGCUGGAAUGUCUAGUGGUGGUUGGUAUCAGCCAGAUUAUACAGAGAAGUUUCUAAGUUCAGAUAACUUUGUGAGGAGAAGAGUAAUCUGACAUGAUUCUUUUGACUGAUUUGAAAGAAAAGAGAUUUUCCAAUCUCCAGCAUACAAACUUAUAGAGUCUUAUUUGUUAUAGUCAUGUUUUGGUUGUUAUAUCCUCUAGCCUUCUUCAUAUGCUUGUUUUAUUUGGUAGCAUUCUUGGAAUUUUAAACCAAAUCUUUUAUUAAAUUCAUGGCAGCAGAUUGCUCUCAUUCUGUUGUCUAUAUAUCAGAUACCUUGUUAGUUAUUCUAGUUGUGAUGUAGUUUGUUCAUUCCACUGAUCGUAUGUGUGGGGGGAGGGGUGUAUUUCAAUUGAUCAAAAUAUAAACUCUGUAAUGUCCAUUUUGCCCUGAAGAUCUUACACCCAGGCUAUUCAAAAUGCAAAAUUAUAUCAUUACAUAAUUGUAAUUUAAAUUGUAAUUUAAACUGGGUACAAAGUGAAACGAUUGUAGGCAAUGUAAAAUAAUUAAUAAAUUAAUUUAUAACCAUUGAAUCUCUCCAUUUUCAAACUAAUUAAUAAUAUUUGAUGUUUUUUAUAUAUAUAUAUAUAUAUAUAUAUAUAUAUAUAUAUAUAUAUAUAUAUAUCACUAUACUGGCAAGACUAUCAGAAGUUUUUAUAUAGAAGUCCCAGAAAUCUCAUGGGCUGACAGACCAGAAAUCUCGUGGGCAGAAGGCCCAGAAAUCUCAUGGGUAGACAGCCCAGAAAUCUUGUGGGUAGAAAGCUCAGAAAGCUCAUGAAUAAAAUGAGCUGUAUAGGUCACAUACCCUUCCUCCUGAAACCAUAAGAAAGUUUCUUUUUUUUAUUUCAGUUAUAGCUUUUCACUUUAAUAAUAUAAUUUCUUUUUAUUUUCAAGAAAAGUAUCAAUGUUACACAUACAUUUUAUUUAUGAAUCUGUAAAUUUAUGACUUUGAACCAUUUAAAAGUCAAAAUUGAUUAUUUAUAACACUUAGUUGUAAAGGAAAAUAAAUCAAAAAGAAAUCUGAGUAAUAAAGAUUUCUAAAAGUCUUCUCAAGUAGAGUGUGACCAAAGAUUUUAUUAUCUUCCCUCCCAGUUGAUAUCUUUAUUUAUUUAAUUUUACUUGUAGUACAUUCAUAAAUAUAUAAAUAAAUAAAGGAUGGUGGUGGGGGAAAUAGGAAUGAACACAUAAAUUCAAAUAAUAUUAUGAUACAAUAUUUUAAAGUAUCAUUAAAUCCACAAAAUUUAUUUUCACCACAGAAGAAGGAUAAUUAAGAAAAACCAGUUCUAAUAGGUUAGGGACAUUGAUGUUUUAAAUAUGUAGAGCAUCUAAGUAACCCUUUUGAUACCAACCUACCUGAGACUGACUUUGCUUCUGUGAUACAAACUUCAUGUUUUAAAGAGAUCUAAAUGAAAAGCAUCUAUCAAGGUUUUAUGUUAAUUUAUGUUCUGAACAUCAGCUUAUUUAACGCCAAAGUAAUUAUGAUUAACUCUUUAUUAUUCUUUGUAAGCCUAGUACUUAUUCUAUCGGUCUCUUUUGCCGAACCACUAAGUUACGGGGACGUAAACACACCAGCAUCGGUUGUCAAGCGAUGUUGGGGGACAGACACACAAAUACACACACAUAUAUACACAUAUAUACGACAGGCUUCUUUCAGUUGCCAUCUACCAAAUCCACUAACAAGGCUUUGGUUGGCCCGAAGCUAUAGUAGAAGACACUUGCCCAAGGUGCCAUGCAGUGGGACAGAACCCGGAACCAUGUGGUUGGUAAGCAAGCUACUUACCACACAGCCACUCCUGCACCUAUGUUGUUAAUAAUAAUGACAAUAAUACUAACUUCUUGACCCAUUAGCAUUUGAACUAGCCAUAUACAGCCCAAAAUGUUCUACAUGUUUUAUGUUCAAACUGACCAGAUCAGGCCUCUCACACCUACCCAACAAUGCCAUUCAAAUCAUAAACAAUCACAUCAUCAAAAUCUCAAAAUAUGAGAUAAUGCAGGAUUAAUUUAAAACAAUAAGAAUGUGUAAUACAUUUGACAGAAUCAUCUGAACGCUUCAGGGUUAAACUGAUACUUUGUUAAAGGAAGACAUAAAAAGACAACUGAACCAAGUCAAAUGCAAAACAGGUAUUAUAUUUUUGCAUUUAGUCAGAAGGUUGUACUCACAACCUUUGCAAGCCUCCAAGAUUUGAAAACAAGCAACAGUGCCUAAAAAUACCAGUCUACAACAGAACCAUUCAAACUACUUUCAAUUAAAUAUUUCCUUAUAUAUUCACACUUUUUUUUACACACUUCCUGCCUCUUACUUUAGGCGGGGCAGCAGCUGUGGGCUUGAAAGAAGGUAAAUAUUGAUUCGACUUCCACAAAGAGACACAGCGCUUUAUAUUUAUGAGGAAGUGUAAAUAUAGACGGAGGAAUAUAAACAGAAGAAGACAAACAGAACUUGAGAUUGAAACCUGGUUGCUCAGUCAACUAGCAUGCCUGGAAAUAAACUCUACCAGGUGUGGCAGGUUGUGGUAUAAAGUGAGGUUGAUAAUUCAGAAGAACAGAAGCAUUUGAUUUAAAUAUAGUAUCAUACUAUACAAACAUAGCACACAUUAUUUUUACCUCAUUAUAAAUCAUUAUACAAGCUUAAAAACAUGUUUCAGUAAGCUUGGUAUGCAACUAGGUGGAAUCAAAUGUUUCGAUUGGUUCAAAUUGCAUCCUUUGAAUAGCUUCUUGCAUUUAAAAUGAUUGAUUCUGAUUGGAUGCAGCUGUGUGGUUAACCCUUUUGUUACCAUAUUUCUGUUGAAAUGCUCUGUGUUUCUUUCAAUUAAUUUUAAAUAUAACAAAGAAUUUAGUAAAAUAACUUAGUUAUCAUUAAGCUAGUGUUAGGAAUACAAAUUGUGACAAAGGUUUGGUGGAAGAUUUUAAUUCAGAACUUUUAAAAACAAGGCAUUUGUACUACAGAGUCAGUGGCAGUUUCAGGUGGGUUAUUAUCAAAAGGGUUAAGUAGUUUUCUUCCCAAUUAUGUGGUUUUGGGUUCAGUCCCACUGUGUGACAUCUAGGGCAAGUGUCUUCUUUAUAGCCCAGAGCCAACCAAAGUCUUGUGAGUGGAUUUGGUAGAUGGAAAUUGAAAGAAGCCUGUCAUACACAUAUUCACAAUAUGUAUGUGUAUAUAUAUAUAUAUAUAUAUAUAUAUUAAAAACAAGGAUAAGAUCUAUAUAAGAAUUUAUCAAGUAGCCAGCAUGAAAAACCAGUAAAGGGAAAAAAAUUAUACAAAAAAUAUAUAAUUAUUCCCUUUAAAUAUAAAUACAUUCAUUAUAUUAAGGGUUAUUACUGAAUGUGUGUGUGUGUGAGUACAUAAUGUGAGGUUUUGUGUGUGUAGGUGUGUAGGUGCAUGUAUGGUAGCUAAGGAGUGAAAUUGUUGGAUUGCUGACCCAAAAGUCGUGAGCUGUUGCAUUGCUAUUAAACACUGCUUGGUAUAAAGUUGGCCCAGUGCCUCAUCCAAACAGACAUUAGUAGCUAGGUUGAAGAGUCAAGGAUUUCAGUGACUACAUUACUUUGGCAACCUUCAAACAAGCAAAUAGGGAGAGUAACUUGAACUUUACCUCGUGUAAAAAUGAAUUCUCUCCACUAGACUUAAUGUCCAUCAUGAUCAUCAUUAUUAUCAUAAAAAACAUUAUUAUUAUUAAAAAUUAACUCGUUAAAGGUGGUGAGGGUCAAAGUCACUUGUUAAUCACAUCAGGAACAAUUUAAGUAUCGGUCAUCAAAUACUGGGGUUAAUUAAACCAACUACAUCCUUUUCCAAAAUGUGACCCUGAGCCAAUGUCAUAAGUUAUCGGAUGGGGUCAAAGUUAGCUGUUCAUCAUUCAGGGGUCAAAUAACUAAAUAUCAAUUGCGUACUGAAGUACAUUAAAAUCACAUACAACCUUCCACAAAAUGGCCUUGUGCCAAUCUCAGAAAUUAAAAGUUAUAGGAAAAUAUAAACAAUUUGGGUGUUUUAUGCCCACUUCUUUCUUUCUUUUACAAGGGCUUAAAUAAAGGGCUACUCAAAAAGCUAAGUUCAGUAUCCUUAAUGCGAAGAAUUCUCUAGCUAUGACAAUCAGCCAAUGAAUCUGUGAGCUUAUUUCAUAUGAUAAAUCUUCAGAUUUUGCUUCAGAAUGAAUAUUGCUCUAGCAGUGCAUCAACAGGAUGUUUAUCAUUGACAAACUGGCUUUGGGAACAUGUCAAAAUCAAUGCAUGUAUAUCUAUUUCUUUAUUGCCCUCAGGGGGCUAAACAUAGAGGGGACAAACAAAGACAGAGAAAGGGAUUAAGUCAAUUACAUUGACCCCAGUGCGUAAACUGGUACUUAUUUAAUUGAUCCUGAAAGGAUGAAUGGCAAAGUCGACCUUGGUGGAAUUUGAACUCAGAACAUAACGGCAGACAAACUACCGCUAAGCAUUUCACCCGGCAUGCUAACGUUUCAGCCAGCUCACCGCCCUAAUACAUACAUAUAUAUCAUCAUCAUCGUUGUUUAACAUUCUUUUUCCAUGUUGGCAUGGGUUGGAUGGUUUUGACAGGAGCUGAAGAGACAGAAAGACUGCACCUAGCUCCAAUAUCUGCUUUGGCAUGGUCUCUCCAUUGGAUGACCUUCCUGAUGCUAACCAUUUUACAGAGUGUACUGAGUAGUUUUUACAUGGUACCAGCACUGCACCUCCAUGCAUGUGUGUGCAUCUGAGAAAAAGCAAGCAAAUCGAAACUUUGAAGUCACUGUCAACGUUUUCCUUCUAAAUGUUUAAUAAGCAUGUAUUGAGUUAUCCUUCAGUUUAAUGUUAAUCUGUUUUUAUAUAUAUAACUUGACAUAAAAACAAAUCUUUAUAUAAAAAUAAAGAACAGACUUCUGCACAGUUUCUGCAUACUAAAUUUCAGUCAUAACAUCAUCAUCAUCGUUUAAUGUCCACUUUCCAUGCUAGCAUGGGUUGGGCGUUUUGACUGAGGUCUGGCGAACCAGAUGGCUGCACCAGGCUCCAAUCUGAUCUGGCAGAGUUUCUACAGCUGGAUGCCCAUCCUAACGCCAACCACUCCAAGAGUGUAGUGGGUGCUUUUAUGUGCCACUGGCAUGAGGGCCAGUCAGGCGGUACUGGCAACGGCCAUGCUCAAAUGGUGCUUUUUAUGUGCCACCUGCACAGUCCAGUGGCACUGACAACGACCUCGCGAAUGUGUUCAGUCAUAACACAUUAGUUAAACAAAAUCUAUGAAAGGCACGAGAUGUCACACAAGAUCAGACUUGGAACCAUAUGGUUUUGAAACAAACUUCUAAACCUCACAGCCAUACCAGAUGUUUCAGUGAGUCAAUUUAUUAAAACAUUUUUGUCACCAACCCAUUAGGAGAUUACCUUCUGUUGUUACAAAACAGUCCAUUUUGGAAUAUUCCUAUCAAAAUCGAAACCUGUCAUAAUUUUAGAUAAGAAUCAUUUCAGAUAUGUUCCAAAUACAAUUUUAAUCCUGAACUCUUUUAGCAGUCAAAUUAUUCAGUUAAAUGUAAUGCUUAUUUAUUCACAUUGUUUUGAAUUAAUCCAUGAAUUCUUUUAUAUUCUUUUACUCUUUUACUUGUUUCACUCAUGUGACUGUGGCCAUACUGGAGCACUGCCUUUAGUUGAGCAAAUCGACCCCAGGACUUAUUCUUUGUAAGACUAGUACUUAUUCUAUUGGUCUCUAUUGCCAAACCACUAAGUUAUGGGGACGUAAACACACCAGCAUCAGUUGUCAAGCAAUGUUGGGGGGGGGACAAACACAGACACACACAUACAUAUAUACAAACAGGCUUCUUUUCAGUUUCCAUCUACCAAAUCCUCUAACAAGGCUCGUCCUGAGGCUAUAGUAGAAGACACUUGUCCAAGGUGCCAUACAGUGGGAUUGAACCCAGAACCAUGUGGUUCGUAAGCAAGCUACUUACCACACAGCCACUCCUACGCCUAUACCUUUAAGAUUUCAGUUACAUGAUUGCUUAUUUUCAGAAUAACAUUGUAAGGUAGGUGUGAGGGGCUGAAUCUGGCUGGUUUGAACAUAAAAUAUGGUAGUAUAUUCAGGCUGGAUAUGGCCAGUUUAUAUUCUAAAGUGUUAAAGUACACUACUUAAUAUUGCAAUAGGUUACUUUAACAAAUAUAUAUAUAUAUAUUGUGGAAAUUAACAUUUUAAAAAUCACAUGACAAUGAGAAUCACUUACUGCCAACGUUUGUCUAUUAAUACAUUUUCAGCAAAUUGCUUACUGACAAUUCCCAGUCUAAAAAGGUUGUAAAUCCCUCCAAAUUCUCCAAUUUUUUUUCUUUCUUAUAACUGAAAACCCAUCAGUUGUGUAUUUCAACAGCAAAAUAAUCAUGAAAAGGUUAAAAGAAAGCUCAAUAUUCAAUAUACUCACAAAAUAGAUAUUUUAAACUGGUGGAAAGGCUCCAGCUUGGGAGUAGGUGUUUUAGGAUGAAUAGAAUUACUCUUUUAGUCCCCACCACCACCACCACCACUAUUCUCAGGUUCAUUCUGGCCCAAAGUGGGGGUAUUUCUUGCUGACUCUAGUUAUGGGUCAAAUAGAUGAUCCUGUGGCUGAGGGAUUCAAAACUUAGAAGAGAGAUAGCCCCUUGACUAGACUCACACAAGCCCAUUCGUAUCUGAACAUGUUCUGAUGUCAGAUAAACUAGUCCCCCUACUUAAGGGUAAGCUUGGAGGGCAAGACAUUAGCAGAGUAAACAGGAAAUAAACAAGCAGAACACAAUGGGGAAACUACUGUUGUGUCUUUCCCAAGAAAGAUCAUGAAUCUUUAGGCUUUGGUCCAUGAUCACCAACACUUGUAGGCAUGGCACCUGGAGAGAGAGGAGCAGUGAGAGAGAGAGAGAGAGAGUCUAUAAAGUGUCUAUAGUGACCCAAUAAAAUUUUACUGAUUUCUAUUUUUGGAUUGCUGCCAAGCAGGACACCCACUUCAAGUUAAUCCCAUAUCAACCAAAGCACCUCUUUCUGUCUGUUACAUAGUUUAUCGGUCUGUAUUCACCUCAAACCACAGAGUUACGGCACAUACAGCAAUAAGACAAAAAAAAACAUCAUGAUGUAUACAUAAACACAAAUCUACAUAGCAACUAAGGGUUUCAGAAACACACAUGCACCUAAGCACCUAAUGGAAUUUUCUCACAUCACUCAAGAUAUCACUGGCUUAAACCUUUAUGAGUCCACCCUCUCCUAGUCAUCCUCCCUCUCAUCUUCCCACAUCACUUUCUAAGAAUUUAGUAGCUUACUUUCUUUUCUUCAUAUAUUCAUUUUUUUCAUAUAAAAAUGUUAGCUCUGAAAUUUGUCAUCCAGCUGAGCUAAGGGAAACAACUCAGUAGCUUAGAAGUAAAUUAUCUUUCUAUGUUGCACAUAGCAGGAAACAGAACGUUCCUGAAAUGGCCUCUUGAAGAACUAAAUGGGUAUUUUGUUCCCUGAUGAUCAUCUGGUUGUUUGUCAUGAAUAUUUCCCUCAGAGAUAUGAUGUAACAAUUUCAUGUCACUCCAAGUUAGAGUAUCACCAGUCCUGCAGAUUGUAUAAAUCAUAUCCUUCACACUCUGUAUUUGAGUUCUCUCUACCCCAAGUUAUUCAGAAUACAAUGUGUGUGUGUGGGGGGGUAAGAGGUUUGCUUCCCAACCACACGGUUCCAGGUUCAGUCCUAUUGCAUGGCAUCUUUGGCGAGUGUCUUCUAUAGCUUCAGGUAUACUGAAGUCUUGUAAGUGGAGUUGGUAGGUGGAAACCGAAAGAAGCCUGUUGUGUAUGUAUGUGUGUGUGUUUGUCCCCCCACUACCACCACUUAACCAGUGUUGGUGUGUUUAUGUUCCCAUAACUUAACGGUUCAGCAAAAGAGCCAAUAAAAUAAGUACCAAGCAUAAAAAAGUACUGGGGUCGAUUCAGUCAACUAAACAUUCUUAAAGGCAGUGCCCCAGCAUGGUCACAGUUUAAUGGCUUUAAGUAAAAGAUAGAACACAAAAGAUAUAUGUAUGGCAGGAGAUGAAAUCAUGUGGCCUUGUGGUCAGGGUAUAAGGCUCAUAAACUUAACGUUGUGGGUUUCAGUUCCUGAACCAGGUAGCAUGUUGCACACCUGAGCAGAACACUUAUUUUCCUGUUGCCCCAAACUAUUCAGCUGAAAAUAAGGACCAGCUAAGCUCUGGUGCAGACCUCACUUCCUUCAGCUGUCACACCCUUGAUGCUCUGCUGAGUCAAGGCUGAGAAAGCUCUGUACAUGUCUAUUUCUACUCAUGACUACACAGGCAUCUGAAACAAUUAGUGAAACUAUGGUACAUGCUUCCAAACCAUACUCACUUGCGAAUGAUGUUUAUGAUGUUAUGAGUUUAGCCAAAUGGUCAUGACUUUUAGCAGUCCAUAUACAAGUGGGUAAAACUUGUGGCAGAGGGAGACCCAGGAAGACAUAGAAUUAAAUAUUGAAGGCAGAUCUCAAGACACUGAAGCUUACAAAGAGGAUGACAAAGGACAAAGAUAUCUGAUGCCUAGCUGUAUCCAAGAAGACCCAUCUACUACAGCAAAAUUGACACUGGUUCUAGUGCCACAUAAAAAGCACCCAGUUAGGAAGAGCUUCCAGCCAUAGAAUCCAUGCCAAAACAGACAAUGGAGCCUGGUUCAGCCCUUGGCCUUACCAGCUCCAGUUAAACUAUCCAACCCAUGCCAGCAUGAAAAACAGACAUUAAAUGAUGAUAUACAUAAUGUGUGUGUGUGUGUUUGUUUGUUCAGCAGUAUCAGUGUUUAUGCAUAAGCAAACUUUAGGCUAGCUAAAAUAUGUUUGUGACACAUUUCAACUUCUAAAGACAAAUUAACAGUUAUCUUGGAGGGGAAAAAAAAACAACUUAUUCUUUUAUUUCUGUAAGUCAUUUGACUGUGGCCAUGCUGGAGCACUGCCUUUAGUUGAACAAAUCAAUACCGGGAUUUAUUGUUUUCAAGCCUAGUACUUAUUGUAUUGGUCUCUUUUGCUGAACCGCUAAGUUUCAGGGAUGUAAACAUACCAACAUCGGGUACAAACACACACACACACACAUAUAUAUAUAUAUAUAUAUAUAUAGGGCUUCUUUCAGUUUUCCGUCUACCAAAUCCACUCACAAGGCUUUGGUUAGCCUGAGGCUAUAGUAGAAGACACUUGCCCAAGGUGCCACGCAGUGGGACUGAACCCAGAACCAUGUGGGUGAGAAGCAAUAUAUACAUUGCAUGUGUGUGUGAAUUGGUAUGCAUGCAUGUGUGCACCUAUGUGUUUGCAUGUAUGUGAAUGAGUAUGCAUGUAUGUGUGUGUGUCUGAGUGUGUGUGUGUGUGUGUGUGUGAAUGUGUACACAUGCAUGUGUGGGUGUGAAUGAGCAUACCACCCCACAACUAUUUUGUUUCUUUCUCAUUCUUUGAAACUAACAUAUGUAUGAAGACAAUGCAUCAUUAUUAUUAUUAUUAUUAUUAUUAUGUUUGCGUUUUUAAUUGGAAAACUGUAUUUAUCUAGAAGGUCACAAUGCUAGGUUGGUAUGGAAACCUACCUUGUCACAAUUAUAUAACAUCUAAAAAAUAAAAAAAAAAAUAAUCAAAUAGUCUUAAGCUUGUUGCUACAAAAGAAACCAAUAUCUUGCUGGCUAUCAAACUACAGAUUAUUAUCAGCAGCAGCACUGACUUCUGAAUUCUGUCUCUUGGAAUUAUUAAAGGCCAAUCAAUUCACAUAACCAGUGACUAGGUCAGUCAAGACAAACAUAACUUGGAUUUUCUUUUUUUUUCUUAAGGUACCAACAACAAUUGGUAACAAGACACUGUUAGUUUACUCUUUACUUGUUUCAGUCAUUUGACUGUGGCCAUGCUGGAGCACCGCCUUUAGUCGAGCAAACUGACCCCAGGACUUAUUAUGUAAGCCUAGUACUUAUUCUAUCGGUAUCUUUUGCUGAACCACUAACUUAUGGGGACGUAAACACACCAGCAUUGGUUGUCAAGCAAUGUUGGGUGUGUGUGGGAAAACAGAGACACACACACAUAUAUAUAUAUAUAUAUAUAUAUAUAUAUACACACACACACACACACACACACACACACACACACACACACACACACACACACACACACACACACACACACACACACACAUAUAUAUAUGACGGGCUUCUUUCAGUUUCCGUCUACCAAAUCCAUUCACAAGGCUUUGGUCAGCCUGAGGCUAUAGUAGAAGACACUUGCCUAAGGUGUCACACAGUGGGACUGAAGCCGGAACCAUGUAGUUGGUAAGCAAGCUACUUACCACACAGCCACUCCUACGCCUAUGUUUGAUAAUAAAAAUAAUUUUUGGGGGGUUGGUAAAUAUAUCAAAUUUUCUUCAAAGAUUUUGUUGUUUGCUACCAUUUCAACACUGUUCCAUUUUAGAACAGGGUAAAAAAGGAAAAAAAAAAAAACUUGACAUUUAUGGUGAAGUGGUAGAAUUGUUAGUUGUUUCCCAAACUGGUAUGGAGGAGGAAACUUGACAGGAACAGGCAAGCCAGAGGACUGCUUCAGGCUCAAAUGUCUGUUUUGGCCUGGUUUCUAUAGCUGGAUGGAUGCCCUUCCUGACCCUAACCCAACCAUUUUAUGGAGUGCACUGAGUACUUUUUUUAUGACACUGGCAAUAUAUGAAAAACUGAAAUUUGAACUCAAAAGAGUAAAAUGUGAAAAACUAAAAACUAAAAAAAAAAAAAGAGGAAAAAAAAAGGAAAUAAUUUGAACUGCUAUUGAUCAUAUAAUUAAUAUAAUUUGAAACCAAACUGAUAAUAUAAUUUGAAUCUAAAUUGAUAAAAUAAUUUGAUUCUAAAUGAAAAAAUUAUUUGAGUUCAAAUUAGUAAAAUUAUUUUUUCUUUAAAUUGAAUUAUAGAUUUCAAUUUGAAUUUUGAUUUCAGAUUUUUCCACCCACAUGGUUCAUGAAAUGAUCACAUCGUUGUUUUAAACUUCCUUGAUUACAGAACUAAUUUAAUCAUUUUAAUUGGCACAGAAACCUAAUAGUAGUAUUGAUUUACAAUAUUGGCACAGGAUCACACAGUUUUAGGAGAGACGGAGUGGGAAUAUAGGGUACUCAUGCCUUUACAUAGGAUUAUCAGUGAUGGGGAAAUGGCUACAACCAGGAAUUAAAAGACAUGUCGCAGACUCGGUUCACUGUCAAGUUAAUGGUAGGUUUUAAUACACAAAUACAAGAUUAUUGAAAGCAAAUCCACAUACACACACACACAAAUCUACAAUUAUAUAUAUAUAUAUAUAUAUUUCUUUACUACCCACAAGGGGCUAAAUAUAGAGGGGACAAACAAGGACAGACAAAUGGAUUAAGUCGAUUACAUCGACCCCAGUGCGAAACUGGUACUUUAUUUAUCUACCCGAAAGGAUGGAAGGCAAAGUCUACCUCGGCGGAAUUUGAACUCAGAACAUAACGUCAGACGAAAUACCGCUAAGCAUUUCGCCCGGGGCGCUAACGUUUCUGCCAGCUCGCCGCCUUAAUAUAUAUAUAUAUAUAUAUAUAUAUACACAUGCAUGUAUACAGAUACAAAGAAAGCCAAAUGGUUAUAUGGAAAUGUACAAACAUAUGUACAUGUUCAUAUUUAAGAUGAUCUAAUUUUCUGUGAGCAAUGUCAGAUAAUGACACAAGAUAUUAAAACAUGGGUGAAUAAUAUAUCUAUCUGAUGUAGUCUUCAGUGUAAUGCAGCUUACAACAAAACUGAUCUGAUCAUAAGCUAAGCUAAUUAUAUUAUCGUUAAUUAAAUAAAAAAGCGAGACAAGUAACAGAUUUUGUUUUUUCCAUUUCUUUUUUAGAAGAUUACCAAUUUACUGAAUUAUAUACACAGCUUUCCAUUAUGGAAUCCUGACAGAGCUUGUUCUUAUCAAGAAAGCUAUCUACUGACAGAGAAUGUUCUUAUCAGAAACACCAUCUUUUCUGUGGUGCAAAAGUCAGGUGUAUGUAUGUGGCAGAAGAGUAGGUUUGAGUGCUUCAAUGAUAGCGACUUGCUAGAAAUGACAGCAAAAUCACCCUCAUAUCUCGAUCUUUCAUCUUGAAGAUAGUGAAGAUGUAGAUAAAUUGAGAUGGGAGGGGCAUGGCUGGAAUUCUUUUGAUUCUAGAUCUGCUUGACUGAGGUUGACCUAGGACUGAGCAACAACAUACAUAGUCAUAAGCAAGUGAUGGUUGCUUCACAUCUAAAAAUAAUAGCUAAAUUUCCCUUGUGUCAGUCCCUAAUGUCUAUUAAAAAAACAAAAGGAAGAACACAUUGAAUAUUGUAGUCUUAGAUAGACUAUAACUAAAAGAAAUGGGGAAGAGUUAUGGCUUGAAUGCCUUUGAUACACAAGUAUUUUCAAUACAAACUUCUUCCUUCAAAUAAAAUGAAGAAGAGAAACACAGACCAGGUCCAUAAUUACAUGACAAGAUUUCAAUACUUAGUAAUAUAAUACUAUUACAAGAUAUGAAACGCGAAUACAACAGUGUACAUAGGCUUGUAAUAACUGUAAUGGCUAUAAUUGUCUCAGUCUCAAUACAAGAAGUAAGAUGACAUCGUUUUCCAAACAAAUGCAAAUCAAUUUAUCUAUCUAUCCGACAGAGAAAGAGAGAGAGACAGAGGGAGAGAGACAAAUAGACAAACAGAGAGAGAGAGAGUGAGACAAAGAGAGAGAGACAGACAGACAGACAGAUAGACAGAGACACAGACAGAUACACAGACACACAUACACACAGAGUCAAGCAUAUACUGCUCAAUAUAUGAAGUGGCUGGUGUCUGAAGGAAGACAACUUAGGAUGAAGAGAAUGUGACAACUUCUUCAAUGUUGGUGCCACAACUCAAUAAGCCCACCACACUCUGAGUGAAGUGGUUGAUGUUAACAAAUUAUAAAGGAAUUUAUACAAGCAUAUACACAAAUGUAUAUAAAUUUAAUGGGGAAAAAUAAUGUGCAGUGUGUCUAUGUAUCUGUGUGUGUAUGUGUAUGUUUAAGUGCAAGCAUAUAUGUGUUGUGUUUGUGUGCAUAUCUUUUACUGGUUACAAUCAUUGGACUGCAGCCAUUCUGGAAUACCACCUUCAAAGUGAUAGUUGAUCAUACUGCCACUAAGUUACAGGUUAUAAAGGGACAAAAGACAAACAAUGACAUCUCUUUUUCUCAGACUGAUGUAAACAUAGAAACAGACACAGGUACACACACACACACACACACACACACACACACACACACACACACACACACUUCUUAAAUGUUUUCCACUGACCAAAUUCCACUCACAAGGCAAUUGAUCAACCCAAUGCCAUGCACUAGAGACAAACCCAGAUCUACAGAGUUGCAAAAUAAACUCCUUAACCACCACAGUGCCAGGCUUGCACUUUCCUCUUUCUACACACACACACACACACAAAUGGUUUGAUUCAUAUCUCCAGAUCCUGUCAGUAUCAAAAAAGAAAACAAAAACAAAAGGCAUUAAUGCAAGGAGAAAGUGUCUAAGUCUCAGAAAAUCUUUAGUUUGUGUUCAUUGGUGAAUUGUCAGGAUCCACUUGCAUUGACAGUCAAUCAGAGACACAAGCAUAAUACUGUGGUAUCAAUGUAACGCUUAUACUUAUUCAAAAACACACACAUGCAUGAUAAGUUCCAAUACAGACUCGAGGCAGACAGGUUCCACGAAAAAGUUUUCUAACAAAAAUUAUCAACUGAAAGGAUCUAAAUAUUAUUCCAUAAUAGCAUUCAUAACCCACUGGGUGAGAAGAUUACUUCAUAAUCACAAAUCACAUCCCUGUAUCUUUAUUGCUGUAGCUGAUAGCUAAAAUCUGGUGCAAACUGAAGAUAAGGCAAAUGUACUUAUAUGUAUACAUCAUAUAUAUAUAUAUAAUAUACAUAUAAAUGCAUACACACAUUAAUAUACAUAUACAUAUAUAUAUAUAUAUAUAUAUAUAUAUAUACAUAUACAUACAUAUAUAUAAAUAUACAUACGUAUAUAUAAAUACAAAUACAUAUAUACAUACAUGUAGAUACACAAACAUGGAUGGAUGGAUGGGUGGGUAGAUAGAUAGAUAGAUAGAUAAUUUGCUCACACAUUCACUUACUUACAUACAUAGCAAACUUCAUAGAUAUUAAUAUUAUGCUUCUCAUGUCUGAAGGCAGGUUUCCCAAUAUUCAAAUUUGGAUAAUUCCUCUCUUUCUUUAUGCUUAUAACAAAAGACUGCAACCAUCUAAUGCUCUCUCAUACACUGUUGUUAAUGUCUUGCUGUUUAUGAGUAAAUGGAAGAUACUGUGUUAGACUAACCAACAAAAUUAUUCAAAAUUCAUCUAAAAUCGAUUAAUUCUAGUGGUGUGUGUCAUACAACGAGAUGUAUGCCCCUAGCAAAUCUACUCCAGGACAAGCUCUGAUUACCAAUUAUAGCAAUUUCAUUUCACUUACACUACUAAAGUCCUAGAGAAAGGCAUGACUGUCAAACAAUCAGAUUUUCCUUCUCGGAUCUAUAAGAAAAGAAAUCACUAGAAAUGAUUAAUGCAAGAGUACAUACACUGUAUAUAUAUAUAUAUAUAUAUAUAUAUGUAUGUAUAUAUUACUUGCUUCAGUCAUUGGACUGCAGCCAUACUGUGACACUGCAUUGAAAGGUUUAAUCCAGAGUUUUUCAACCAUUUAUCAACCUAUGAACCCAUUUGAUUCUUAUUUUCCUCCAGUAGACCUGCAGAGCAAUUUGAUGCUUAAAAAAUCCUAUUUAUUUUUAUAAUUAAAUGUUAUUAGGAACUGUAUUAAAAAAUUGUUCAAAUAAUUUGUGUAUUGUACAACCAUAACGGUGGAGACACAUGGCCUAGUGGUGAGAGCAGCGGACUCGCAGUUGAGGGAUCGUGGGUUCGAAUCUAAGACCGGGCGAUGUGUGUGUUGAUGAGCGAAAAACACCUAAGCUCCACGCGACUCCGGCAGAAGGUAAUGGUGAACUUCUGACUCUUUCGCCACAACUUUCUCUCACUCUUUCCUCCAGCAUCUUGCAGCUCACCUGCAAUGGACUGGUGUUCCAUCCAGGUGGGGAACCUAUACGCCAAGGAAACUGGGAAACCGGCCCUUAUGAGGCUUGAUAAGGAACAACAACAACUAAUUUAUUGCAUAUAAAUUUUAUCAACAAAAUCUUAUAUGGACUCUCAAGGACCAUAUAGACCCUGGUUAAGGAUCACAGGUCUUGUCGAACAAAUCAACCUUAGUGCUUAUUAUGUAAGUGUUGAUUCUAGUGGUCUCUUUUGUUAAACCACUAAGUUGUAGGUAUGUAAACAAACCAACACCAGUUGUCAACCAGUGCUGGUGCAAACACAUACAAACACACACACUCAAUGGACUGCCACAGUUUCCAUUUAUUAAAUUUACUCACAAAGUAUAGGUCAACCCAGGGCUAUAGUAGAAGACAUUUGCCCUGGCAUUGAACCCAAAAACCAGGUGUGUGUGUGUGUGAAUGUGUGCGUGUACAUAUAUACAUGGAUACAAAUAGUUAAAUCAAAAGUUUGAAUAACCAAUUCUAAAAAGUUUUGCAGACUUCUCAAUGUAAAGUGAUACAAGUCAUACAAAAAAGGAAAAAGAGAAACAGGUCAAACUGUCAGAUCAAUGGAACAAAUCUAUCAAUUGCCAGGCAACAGUGUUAUCAAUUAACUUGUUCAUAAUCUUCCAAACUAUUUUCAGUCGUUGUAAGAUAUAAUGGUUAACUGGUUACAUAAUGAACUACUACUCUAAACAUCACCAACAGAAACCCUAAUAUUGGCAUUACAUUGGUCAUUGUGGGCAAAGUGGCAUAAUUACUUUGAUGGGUGGACACUGCUCAUAAUCCUUUUCUGAACCUCCAAGAUUGGUGGGAAGGAAUGAGUCAGGUACCCUCAAAUCAGGAAUUUGAUCCAAAUGCAUCAGAGUGACCUCUGUUAAAAACACCUUAGGACCAUAUGGUGUUGUUCUACUAGGUCACAGAUUAAGUUUACCACUCAAGCAGGCCAUAGUAGAAUUUGAACUCAGAACUUAAAGAACCAAAUGAAAUACCAUCAGGCAUAACAUUCAGUGCUCUGAAAAUUCUGCCAGUCUGUUGUCCAAGACUCCUUCUUAUUUACUGACCCCAGAAAGAUCAAAGGCAAAAUUGACUCUGCAAGAAUUUGACCUCAGGACACAUAGGGAUGCAACAAAUUACUGCAAGACAUUUCAUUCGGCACUCUAACAACUCUUGCUGCGAUGGUGGCAUGAACAUCACAACAUCAUUCACAGUAACCACUUCACAAUUCAUGCUUUCUAUCAUAUGAUUAACAACUAUAAAGUAUGCAUAUAGCCAGAACACAAUUAUUCUUCAAGUCUAAUUAAGAGUUUUUAGCCCCAAAAACUGUUAUUUCAGUAGUUUAUGCAAAUAUUGAAAAUUUGAACAAUCUUUUAACCCAAAAUAGCAUGUGAAAAAAAAAACCCUACAAAACAUAAUAAACUGAGGGAAAAUAGUUGAAAAAUAUUAAAAAAUUCCUUUUAUAAUCUUUUCUCUCUCUCUCUCUCAUACACACACACAAAUAAAAAUGUCUGCAUGUCAUCAAUUUAGAAAGAAUUUUAAUAGAAUCUGGUUUCAACUAGCAUUUCAUUUCAUUUGAACUUGUAUGAAAACAUUUAGUAAUGUCACUGUUUAUUUUGUAUGAAAUGUAAUGGUUCUGGCACAGAUAACAGAUCCAGACUAGAUACUUUAUGAUAUGUAACCCCUCCACCACCACCACCACCACCACACAUUUUACUUCUUUUUCUCUUCAAUAUUUUUAUCUAUUUAUUUAACAUUCUUGUUAUGAGUGAAAAGGCUUUGUAAAUUUAAACAUUUUAAAAAUAUUUAUUCUGUUUCAAAUUUCAUGAGGGCCAACAUUUUCUUUCAUCUCUACAGCACCUGUUAAAAUAAGCAUCAUUAAGAUAACCUGAGAGAUUUAUUUAUUUACAUUCUGAGUUCAAAUUUGUCUUUCAUCUUUUAGGGUUAAUUAAAUAAAUAGCAGUCAAGUUCUGGGGUCAAUACAAUUGACUGGCCCCCAUCCCACGAAUUUCAGGCCUUGUGCCUAUAACAGAAAGAAUUAUUAUUAUUAUUAUUAUUAUUAUUGUUGGCUGAAUAGGUAGCAUGCUGGGCAAAAUGCUGAGCAGUAUUUCUUCUGUUGCUACAUUCUGAGUUCAAAUAUUGCUAAGGCCGACUUUGCUUUUCAUCCUUUCAAGUUCAAUAGAUUAAGUACCAGUCAAGUACUGGGGUUGAUGUAAUUGACUUUCCCCCUCCCCCAAAAUUUCAGGCUUUGUGCCGUCAACAGAAAGGAUUAUUAUUAUUAUUAUUAUUACUGUUAAGGUGGCAUGCUGGCAGAAUUGUUAGCACACCAGCCAAAAUGCUUAGCAGUAUUUCGUCCGUCUUUGCAUUUCUGAGUUCAAAUUCUGCCAAGGUCAACUUUGCCUGUCAUCAUUUUGGGACCAAUUAAAUAAGUACCAGUGGAGCACUGGGGUCGAUGUAAUCAACUUAAACCCUCCCCAUAAAUUUCAGGCUUUGUUCCUAUAGUAGAAAGGAUUAUUAUUAUUAUUAUCAUUAUUAUUAUUAUUAAGGUAAUUCUCCCAAGGUUGACUUUGCCUUUCAUCCAACUCCUAAACGAAGAAACUUAUGAUGCUGUUAAUGCUCCUUUUGAACCAUUACAAAUCCACAUUUGUAGGAAAGACAUGAACAGAAAUAGAGUUCCAGGGAAACGAUUUUCAUAGAUGGAAGGAUUGGGCAGAAUGUGAUUGGAUACAAGAUAGGCAAUGAGAAGAGGAGGGCUGAGUGAGUCUGGAAUACCUAAGCGGGGGUGACAUGAGACCAGUUAAUUCUGAAGAGUAGAGAUGAUUAUAGUUGCAGUAGAAAAGGCGACAGGUGACACAUCUAUAAACUAAAAGCUGGACUGUAUCUUUAUUGCAAUCAGUUGGGUGGUUCUUUUGUGACUGUAGUCUUUGGGUGUCAGUGUUCACAAGAGCAGUACCAUUCCAGAUGUGAUAGCAAUACUUCGUCGUGAGUCUUAUCUGAUCUUUGGAAAGGUUCGGUAACCAUUGAGAGCUAAAGUAUCUUCUGAAGAGAAGAGUCCCUUAUUGGGACGCUUGUCUAGGAUUGGUGUCACUAAAAAGGAGAUCCUCGGUGAUAGCCAGGCCCAGUAUUUAGAGUAAUCAUUCAAAAGGAGAAAAGCUGUCCUAGGGGCAGUUGGAGUGGUAGAAAGAAAACGUAGAAGUUGAUCCAAUAGAAUACAUCUUUAUGUUUAUAUUUUUAACGAAGAAGGGUGGGGCUUGAGCCUAGGCUAAAGAAUCGGUGAAUUACUUUGCGUAACCAUUUAUAUUUAACUUGCGUGCUGCUAUUUAAAGAACAAAUAUCAAAUUAGUUAACAGAUAUGAAUGUCAACAAAUUAACUAAUUUUGGUUAUCUUUUUCAGAAAUUUCACUAUUUACAUAUGAAAGACAGCCAAACAAAGUUUUAAUUCCUCACUGACGAAACAUCCCCCACCACACACACAUCAAGUUCAAGUAAUUAAAAAUUUUAGUCAUGGUUCCCAGGGCUUCCAUCAUAAGUGGGACUAUUAGAAGUCGCAAUUCAUGGCUCAAGUUGAAAACCACAUCAGGGCUCCAUACAUUUGAGUGUGGUGACAGGGGAAACUAUCUAAACAAAUGCAGGUAUGGUUAUGUGGUUAAGAUAUUUAUUUUUUAACCACAUGGUUCUGGGUUUGUUUGAUCUCACUACAGGCACAUUGGGUUCUGGUACAGACUUGAGUUGACAAAUGCUUUGAGUACAAAUUUGGCAAGCAGAAACUCUGUGGAAGCCUGCUGAGUGUUUGAUUUAUAUGUCUGUGUCUACCCUUCAUUAAUGUAUAUAGGCGUAGGAGUGGCUGUGUGGUAAGUAGCUUGCUUACCAACCACAUGGUUCUGGGUUCAGUCCCACUGCGUGGCACUUUGGGCAAGAGUCUUCUACUAUAGCCUCGGGCUGACCAAAGCCUUGUGAGUGGAUUUGGUAGACGAAAACUGAAAGAAGCCCGUCGUAUAUAUGUAUGUGUGUGUAUAUGUUUGUCCCCCCAACAUCGCUUGACAACCAAUGCUGGUGUGUUUACGUCCCCGUAACUUAGCGGUUUGGCAAAAGAGACCGAUAGAAUAAGUACUAGGCUUACAAAGAAUAAGUCCUUGGGUCAAUCUGCUUGACUAAAGGUGGUGCUCCAGCAUGGCCACAAUCAAAUGACUGAAACAAGUAAAAGAGUAUCAGAAAGUCUCAGUUUGCUAAUAGCAUCUCAGAAUCUCUGUACAUUGCUGACAGUAUCACUGUGCAAGCUAUGUGAGUGUUCAAGGAGGGAUUCAGAGUGCAGGUAAGUGUCCAUCAGGGAUCAGUUUUCACCCCAUUUGUUUAUGAUUUUCCAUGCUACAACAGAGGAGUUUAAAACUAAUUGCAAAAUGUAAACUGAAGGCCUGAAAAUAAAGUUUUAGCAGGAAAAAAUCCAGAUCUCUGUUGCCAUCAGGACGUGACUAUACUCAAAGUACAGAAAAAGGAAAGAAUAGGAAUUCAUACAGUGCAAAACUAUGGGUGCACAACAGUGGGAUCACUAGCAAGCUGACAGAGAAGGAAGACUUUAUAUGUGGAAGGAUAAUAGUUCACAGCAACAGCAACUGUGAAAUAAAUUCUUUCAAAUGUUUCUCUAUAGAGGUAGUCACCAGCUUCUUUUACCAAGGUAACCUAAUAAGCAGAUGGGUAAGUGCACUGAGGGGAUUAUAGCCAGAGUAAGAACAGUGGAGAAAAAGUUCAGAGAGCUGUGUUCCCUUUACUGACAACAAGGGAAUUCUCUCUAUCAGUGAACAGCAGCUUGCAUGAUGGUUAUAUGAAGCAUUAUGUUGCAUGGUAGUGAAACAUGUACAUUGAAUACACAGAGUGUGAAGGCUGCAAACAAAAACCAAAGUAACACAUGUGUAAUGUUAAUGUAUAUAAAUGAUAGAGCACAAAGGAGUUGAGAGAAAAAACUAGCUACAAGAGGAUUCAGGUGAUAGAUGUAUAAUGGUAUUGCAGAUGAUAAUUUAGCAAAAGAGCAUCAGAAGAUCCAGGUAGAAUGUAGAGAAAAAUCUCAAAAUGCUGGUUAGGCAAUGACUAAUGACCACAAGAGGCAAAGCAUUGUGUUGGUGAAAAACCUAUACAACCCAUGCAAACAGGAAAAAUUGAAUGAUGAUGAUGUAACUAUCAGUAACAAUACAUAAAUAAAUAAAAUCCAGUAAGUUCAAAACAAAAAUACUUUUGCAAUAUUUAUUCCAUCUGAGUUUCACAGACACUCCUUCAUCACUCUUAUAUCUUGACUGCCCACAAGGGGCUACACACAGGGGACAAACAAGGACAGACAAACGGAUUAAGUCGAUUAUAUCGACCCCAAUGCAUAACCGGUACUUAUUUAAUCGACCCCAAAAGGAUGAAAGGCAAAGUCGGCCUCGGUGGAAUUUGAACUCAGAACGUAGUGGCAGAUGAAAUACUGCUAAGCAUUUCGCUUGGCAUGCUAACAUUUCUGCCAGCUCGCCGCCCUUACUCCUUCAUCACUCUUGUUAUCAUAAAUGCAGUAAAUCACCAACUGGAAUGCUAGAAUUCUGUCACUAAUCAUGUUCUCUAAAUGUGUGAUAUUAGAAGGUAAAAAUGGAGUUGAUUCUAAAAUUUACAGUGAUUAACAAAUCCUUUGAACCCGACUCACAUUUGAAGCAACCCAACUGUAACUUUGUAACAGUAUUUAAGUAAACUUAUUUAACUAAGCUUAGCACCUCAAUCAACACCGCAAGCUUGCCACAAACACACACAAAACUACAAUUCCCACACAAAUACACUCCAAUAAAACCCACUCCUUUACACACUGCUAACUCCAUAAUUUAUAACUGAGGUGUCAAAAUAAAUUUUCUGUGGCAUUUUUGACAUGACAAGUUUGAGUAAAUUAUUUACUUUUGUCUUAAAUAUCUGGCUGAAACCAAGUCUACACAAGAAUUUCUUUUUACUGCUGUCCUUUCUUCUAAACUAGAACCAAUUAGGUCAAGUAUAGAAACUUUUUUGGUCAAUGAUUUAAGGUUGCAAGUUACAGACAAUCUAAAUUUGGUUGUUCUUAACUCCAGGCCAAGUUUGAUGCAGCAGACUUGUGAUCAGUGACAUUCUAACUAAAACCACCCUGUCUAUUCUUUUAAAGCAUAGUGCAUUUAGGACUACACUUAAACAUCUCUUUUUCUUUUUAAAGAUGGUAGGAUUGGAUUUGAGGGAGAUUUAGUGUAUCAAGUAAAGGGUUAGGGUUACAUAUAUAUAUUUUAGGGUAUCUAAGAUAUACCACCAUGCUUGAAAUAGCAGCCAAAACUUGACUCUAAAACCACAUUAAAAGUUCAUACAGCACCUGGUUUUAGAGUCAAGUUUUGGCUGCUAUUUCAAGCACGGUGGUAUCUCUUAGAUACCCUAUUUUUUAUUAUUUUUAAAGGCACAAUAAAUCUAAAAUUGUAUAAAUCUAGUUCUCCUUCUAUAUGAUGAUAGAAUUUAAUUUGACAGAGAUUCCUACAAGACCAAGCAACCACAGAGAAUCUCUCAUUAGUUAUGCUACUGUUUAGCCAUAAGUCAGUCCUGACCCAGCAGAUCGAUGAUGAAAUACUUUCAGAUUGAGAGUAAUUUCUCUUUCUUUUAGACAGCAUCUUCACAACUACAUCAUCCAAAGUGGCUUUCCAUUUUUCUUAAGAUUGUAAAGAAUAAUUUAAGAGAUUUGGCUGCAGUUUUUAGCAAGUAAAGAGUAAAGUGACCAUGUAAAUUCACCCCAUCUUCACCCUAGGACUUAAGCUAAAUUAGUUUAACUAAUAACCAUCAACUGUCUCUGACAUUAUCAACAUCUUUCACUGAUGAUUACCGAAUGGGAAUAUAGACUAUGAUAUCUAUAACUUUCGCGAGACUAUUUUGUAAUGUAAGAAAAAUAAAAAAAAAAGGCAACAAUCAAGAAUUGAAACCUAAUCACAGGCUUAGUUAAUGAAGAGCUUAACUUUUCUUGCCAAUCAGCAGUCACCAUUUAAUGACUAUUAUCUAAUUAUAAUUUUCUUAUCUCUUCAGGUGUAAAAAAAAAAAAAAAAAAAAAAAAACGUCACUUGCUUUCACUAACUGUUUUAGGUGCCUGUGGAGUCACAAGUAGACAGAUACCUUUUUUAACCCUCCCACCUUUGAUCUAGUAGAACAUCCAGGAUGUGACAGUGGAAGGGAGAGAUAGAGAUGUGUCGGCACUUGGCUGCUACUCAUUUUCAGCCGAGUGAAUUGGAGCAAUGAGAAAUGAAGUGUCUUGCUCAAGGACACAACACAUCACCUGCUCCAAGAACUGAACUAGUAACUUUAUAAUUCUAAGCCUGAUACCCUAAAUCACUAGGCUGUACACCAUUUUAGUAAAGCAGGUGAAAUGAGAGACCAUAGUAAAGAACCUGUUGAAAAAUACAACCCACACACACACACACACAAAACCACACAAAUAUACAAAAAAAAACACACAAAUACAUAAGAGUUAAUUUUGCUAAGAGGCUCAAAUAAUCACCAAAUCUAAUUAAACAAAUCAAAUACGAUGGUUAAUUAAGCCAAUGCUUUACAUGUUAAGCACACACACACUGUGCAUGAUACAUUAAAUUAAGAUUAUCAAAGAUAGAUGAUAAUCAUCAAAAACUACACAGUUUAGUAAAUGCUUAGUGUAAAAGCUGAAUUCACCAAUUUAAUCUUUUUCUUUUUUUUUUUUAAUUCCAUUAAUGUUUCCUUGGUUAAAAUUAUUUGUUGCUUAUAAUCCUUUCAAACAGCAAGGGGAGAGAGAGAGAGAGAGAGAGAUGUGUGUGUAUGUGUGUGAGUGCAUGGUGUGUGUGUGUGUGCAUGGUGUGUGUGUGUGCAUGGUGUGUGUGUGUGCAUGGUGUGUGUGUGUGUGUGUGUGUUUGAGUGUGUGCAUGAGUGUGUGCAUGAGUGUGUGUGAGUGUGUGCAUGAGUGUGUGUGUGUGUGUGUGUGCAUGAGUGUGUGUGUGUGUGUGUGUGUGCAUGAGUGUGUGUGUGUGUGUGUGCAUGAGUGUGUGUGCGUGCAUGAGUGUGUGUAUGAGUGUGUGUGUGUGUGCGUGCAUGAGUGUGUGUGUGCGUGCUUGAGUGUGAGUGAGUAUGUGUGUGUGUGCAUGUGUGAGGGAAACAGUAAGAAAGAAAUUGAUGUGUAGGUAUACAGGAUGUGAACACAUCUUUCAAAAGUCUAUAAAUGGAAGACAAUGUAAUGUUACAGAGCACACUCCAAGUUUUAACUUUAUUCUCUUCCAGAUGUAUCAACAGAAUCAACACAGCAAACUCCAGUCUAACAAAGGAAAUAAAAAAAAGGCGUGUCAUGCUUGUAACUCUGGCUGCCAACAAUAGCAAACUUGUAAAAUUAUCAGCUUCUUCAAGACAGCUGGGUCCUUUGUGUUCAAGGUCAGGAAACAGCUGGAAGCCUCUGAGGAAGAUGUGUCAUCAGUAACAAGAAAGAAAGAAUCAAACAUUUCCAGUCAGACAUCACUAGGAGGGACGAGCUUGUUCAGGAGAUCUGGGGCAUCAACAACAAUUCCAGCAGAUCAAUGAGGGACAUUGCUGAGCAGCUCAAGUUUGCAGACUCCACUGUCAGACAUCUAGUACACAAGGACAUGAAAUUACAAGCCUUACAUGAUGAGAAGAUGGCAGUUCAUAUCUAACAAGACCUGGGAUAACUAUGUCAUCAUGAGACACCCAGUUCAGUAUCACAGGGCUCUUUUACUCUUACUUGUUUCAGUCAUUUGACUGUGGCCAUGCUGGAGCACCGCCUUU
rnacentral:lncRNA from 1 species